UGUUGUAUGUCCAAUACUCAGUGUUCAGC
rnacentral:piRNA from 1 species